rnacentral:rRNA from 1 species
AUUGAACGCUGGCGGCAUGCUUUACACAUGCAAGUCGAACGGUAACAGGCCGCGAGGUGCUGACGAGUGGCGAACGGGUGAGUAAUGCAUCGGAACGUGCCCAGUCGUGGUGGAUAACUACUCGCAAGAGUAGCUAAUACCGCAUACGAUCUAUUGUUGAAAGCGGGGGACCGUAAGGCUGCGCGCGAUUGGAGCGGCCGAUGUCAGAUUAGGUAGUUGGUGGGGUAAAGGCUCACCAAGCCAACGAUCUGUAGCUGGUCUGAGAGGACGACCAGCCACACUGGAACUGAGACACGGCCCAGACUCCUACGGGAGGCAGCAGUGGGGAAUUUUGGACAAUGGGCGCAAGCCUGAUCCAGCAAUGCCGCGUGCAGGAAGAAGGCCUUCGGGUUGUAAACUGCUUUUGUACGGAACGAAACGGCUCUGGUUAAUACCCGGGGGUAAUGACGGUACCGUAAGAAUAAGCACCGGCUAACUACGUG